UACGUAGGGAGCAAGCGUUGUCCGGAUUUAUUGGGCGUAAAGAGCUCGUAGGCGGCUUAGCAAGUCGGGUGUGAAACCUCCAGGCUCAACCUGGAGACGCCACUCGAUACUGCUAUGGCUUGAGUUCGGUAGGGGACCAUGGAAUUCCUGGUGUAGCGGUGAAAUGCGCAGAUAUCAGGAGGAACACCGGUGGCGAAGGCGGGUCUCUGGGCAGUUACUGACGCUGAGGAGCGAAAGCGUGGGGAGCGAACAGG
rnacentral:rRNA from 1 species